UUGGUGGGGUAACGGCCUACCAAGGCGACGACGGGUAGCCGGCCUGAGAGGGCGACCGGCCACACUGGGACUGAGACACGGCCCAGACUCCUACGGGAGGCAGCAGUGGGGAAUAUUGCGCAAUGGGCGGAAGCCUGACGCAGCGACGCCGCGUGAGGGAUGACGGCCUUCGGGUUGUAAACCUCUUUCAGCAGGGACGAAGCGCAAGUGACGGUACCUGCAGAAGAAGCACCGGCCAACUACGUGCCAGCAGCCGCGGUAAUACGUAGGGUGCAAGCGUUGUCCGGAAUUAUUGGGCGUAAAGAGCUCGUAGGCGGCUUGUCACGUCGACUGUGAAAACCCGGGGCUCAACUCCGGGCCUGCAGUCGAUACGGGCUGGCUUGAGUGCGGUAGGGGAGACUGGAAUUCCUGGUGUAGCGGUGAAAUGCGCAGAUAUCAGGAGGAACACCGGUGGCGAAGGCGGGUCUCUGGGCCGUAACUGACGCUGAGGAGCGAAAGCGUGGGGAGCGAACAGGAUUAGAUACCCUGGUAGUCCACGCCGUAAACGUUGGGCGCUAGGUGUGGGGACCUAUCCACGGUCUCCGUGCCGCAGCUAACGCAUUAAGCGCCCCGCCUGGGGAGUACGG
rnacentral:rRNA from 1 species